rnacentral:lncRNA from 1 species
GAACAGUCUCCUCAGGAGGAAUUGAGCACCGACGAUCCACAGUGAGAAGGGACAGCAUUUAAUGGAACUAUGGUCUCUGCACAAAACCAAGAGACAUGCUUGGGUUUGCUGACCAGGGUGAGCUCCAUCAGGCGGUGGAGAGCCCCAGCCUCUUCUACUCCCAAGUACAUUACCCUGACAGCUCCAGCAUCAACUUGCAUGCUUCCAGAAUCUGUGCUAGCACUCCCACCGCCUCGAUCUAACAUCUGGGUCAAGGUGCAGUUUGCUAUCUGUCGUCCACAGGUCACAGAGCAAGGACUGGACAGGGGCCUGGGCGUGAGGACGCUUGUCCUCUCUGAGUGGUAGGACAGAAUGUUUCACGUUCCUUCUUUUUGCUCAUC